AACGGGGGGGAACGAGUGUUAUUCAUCAUGACUGGGCGUAAAGGGCGCGUAGAUGGUUGCCGAGGUUUAAAUUAAUAUUUAUUUAAUUUAAAGACCUGCAUACUUGAAUAGAUUGGAAAUAUGUGGAAUUUAAUCUAAAGGGGUGAAAUGCGGUAUAGAUUAAAGACUAUCAACGGGCGAAAGCGACAUAUUAUAAUUUAUUGACAUUUGAAGCGCAAAAGCAUAGGGAGCAAACAGG
rnacentral:rRNA from 1 species